rnacentral:rRNA from 1 species
GAAUGCUAGCCUGGGGACUGGGGGAUACCGUCCGGAAAGGGGCGCUAAUACCGCAUACGUCCUGAGGGAGCUAGUGGGGGAUCUUCGGACCUGACGCUAUCACAUGAGCCAAGGGCGGAUUAACUAGUUGGUGGGGUAAAGGGCUACCAAGGCGACCAUCCGGAACUGGUCUGAGAGGAUGAUCAGUCACACUGGAACUGGCACACGGUCCAGACUCCUACGGGAGGCAGCAGUGGGGAAUAUUGGACAAUGGGCGAAAGCCUGAUCCAGCCAUGCCGCGUGUGUGAAGAAGGUCUUCGGAUUGUAAAGCACUUUAAGUUGGGAGGAAGGGCAGUAAGUUAAUACCUUGCUGUUUUGACGUUACCAACAGAAUAAGCACCGGCUAACUUCGUGCCAGCAGCCGCGGUAAUACGAAGGGUGCAAGCGUUAAUCGGAAUUACUGGGCGUAAUCAUUCCAAAGCAAUCAUACGCAGUGCGUAGCUAGUUGAGCAAGCCGCAUGUAAUAUAUGCGGGUUCAACGUGGGAGCGGUAUCCAACACGGCUGAGCUAGAGUACGGUAGAGGGUGGCAGAAUCUCCUGUGUAGCGGCAAAGUGUGUAGAUAUUUGAUGGAACAGCAGUGGCGCAGGCUACCACAUCUUGUGACUCUGACACUGAUUUGCGAAACAGUGGCGAGCAAACAGGAUGAGAUACCCUGGUACACCAGUCUGUAAUCGAUUUUGAACAGCCUUCGGGAUCACACAGAUAUUAGCGGCGCACUUAACGGGAUAAGUGGUCCGCAUGGGGAGUACGGCUUCAAGGUUAAAACUCAAAUGAUUUGCAGGGGACCCGCACAAGCGGUGGAGCAUGUGGUUUAACCAGAAGUAACGAGAAAAACCUUCCCCGUCCGUAACAUGGUGAGAACUUUCCAGAAAUGUAUUGGUGCCUAUUGGAACUCAGACACAGAUGCUGCAUGGUAUUAGUCAGCUGGCGUGUCGUUAGAAAUUGGAAUAAGUCCCCAAACGAGCGCAACCCUUGUCCUUAGUUACCAGCACCUCGGGUGGGCACUCUCAGGAGACUGCCGGUGACAAACCGGAGGAAGGUGGGGAUGAGGUCAAGUCAUCUGGGCCAUUACGGCCAGGGUUACACAAGUGCUACAAUGGUCGGUACAAAGGGUUGCCAAGCCCCGAGGUGGAGCUAAUCCCAUAAAACCGAUCGUAGUCCGGAUCGCAGUCUGCAACUCGACCGCGUGAAGUCGGAAUCGGUAGUAAUCGUGAAUCAGAAUGUCACGGUGAAUUCGUUCCCGGGCCUUGUACAUACCGCCCGUCGACGACGCUAUGGGCAGUGGGU